rnacentral:rRNA from 1 species
AUUGAACGCUGGCGGCAUGCUUUACACAUGCAAGUCGAACGGUAACAGGCCGCAAGGUGCUGACGAGUGGCGAACGGGUGAGUAAUGCAUCGGAACGUGCCCAGUCGUGGGGGAUAACGCAGCGAAAGCUGCGCUAAUACCGCAUACGAUCUAUGGAUGAAAGCGGGGGACCGAAAGGCCUCGCGCGAUUGGAGCGGCCGAUGUCAGAUUAGGUAGUUGGUGGGGUAAAGGCCCACCAAGCCAACGAUCUGUAGCUGGUCUGAGAGGACGACCAGCCACACUGGGACUGAGACACGGCCCAGACUCCUACGGGAGGCAGCAGUGGGGAAUUUUGGACAAUGGGCGCAAGCCUGAUCCAGCAAUGCCGCGUGCAGGAAGAAGGCCUUCGGGUUGUAAACUGCUUUUGUACGGAACGAAACGGUCCGGGUUAAUACCCUGGGCUAAUGACGGUACCGUAAGAAUAAGCACCGGCUAACUACGUGCCAGCAGCCGCGGUAA